CUACGGGUGGCAGCAGUGGGGAAUAUUGCACAAUGGAGGAAACUCUGAUGCAGCAACGCCGCGUGGAGGAUGACACUUUUCGGAGCGUAAACUCCUUUUAUAUAGGAAGAAGAUGACGGUACUAUAUGAAUAAGCGCCGGCUAACUCCGUCGCCAGCAGCCGCGGUAAUACGGAGGGCGCAAGCGUUACUCGGAAUCACUGGGCGUAAAGAGCGUGUAGGCGGAUUAAAAAGUCAGAAGUGAAAUCCUAUAGCUUAACUAUAGAACUGCUUCUGAAACUCUUAAUCUAGAAUAUGGGAGAGGUAGAUGGAAUUUCUGGUGUAGGGGUAAAAUCCGUAGAGAUCAGAAGGAAUACCGAUUGCGAAGGCGAUCUACUAGAGCAUUAUUGACGCUGAGACGCAAAAGCGUGGGGAGCAGACAGGAUUAGAUACCCCCGUAGUC
rnacentral:rRNA from 1 species